rnacentral:rRNA from 1 species
AAUACGACUCCACUAUAGGGCGAAUUGGGCCCGACGUCGCAUGCUCCCGGCCGCCAUGGCCGCGGGAUUGGCGUAAAGCGUGCGCAGGCGGUUUUGUAAGACAGUGGUGAAAUCCCCGGGCUCAACCUGGGAACUGCCAUUGUGACUGCAAGGCUAGAGUGCGGCAGAGGGGGAUGGAAUUCCGCGUGUAGCAGUGAAAUGCGUAGAUAUGCGGAGGAACACCGAUGGCGAAGGCAAUCCCCUGGGCCUGCACUGACGCUCAUGCACGAAAGCGUGGGGAGCAAACAGGAUUAGAUACCCUGGUAGUCCACGCCCUAAACGAUGUCAACUGGUUGUUGGGUCUUAACUGACUCAGUAACGAAGCUAACGCGUGAAGUUGACCGCCUGGGGAGUACGGCCGCAAGGUUGAAACUCAAAUGAAUUGACGGGG